rnacentral:rRNA from 1 species
CCUACGGGGGGCAGCAGUGGGGAAUAUUGGACAAUGGGGGGAACCCUGAUCCAGCCAUGCCGCGUGUGUGAAGAAGGCCCUCGGGUUGUAAAGCACUUUCAGUGAGGAAGAACGCCUGGUGGUUAAUACCCAUCAGGAAAGACAUCACUCACAGAAGAAGCACCGGCUAACUCCGUGCCAGCAGCCGCGGUAAUACGGAGGGUGCGUGCGUUAAUCGGAAUUACUGGGCGUAAAGCGCGCGUAGGUGGCUUGAUAAGCCGGUUGUGAAAGCCCCGGGCUCAACCUGGGAACGGCAUCCGGAACUGUCAAGCUAGAGUGCAGGAGAGGAAGGGAGAAUUCCCGGUGUAGCGGUGAAAUGCGUAGAGAUCGGGAGGAAUACCAGUGGCGAAGGCGGCCUUCUGGACUGACACUGACGCUGAGGUGCGAAAGCGUGGGUAGCAAACAGGAUUAGAUACCCUAGUAGUC